rnacentral:rRNA from 1 species
AGAGUUUGAUCCUGGCUCAGGAUGAACGCUGGCGGCGUGCUUAACACAUGCAAGUCGAACGAUGAAAGCGGGAGCUUGCUCCUGCUGGAUUAGUGGCGAACGGGUGAGUAACACGUGAGUAACCUGCCCUUGACUCUGGGAUAAGCGUUGGAAACGACGUCUAAUACCGGAUACGACCUUCGGAGGCAUCUCCUGGGGGUGGAAAGAAUUUCGGUCAAGGAUGGACUCGCGGCCUAUCAGCUAGUUGGUGAGGUAAUGGCUCACCCAAGGCGACGACGGGUAGCCGGCCUGAGAGGGUGACCGGCCACACUGGGACUGAGACACGGCCCAGACUCCUACGGGAGGCAGCAGUGGGGAAUAUUGCACAAUGGGCGCAAGCCUGAUGCAGCAACGCCGCGUGAGGGACGACGGCCUUCGGGUUGUAAACCUCUUUAGUAGGGAAGAAGCGAAAGUGACGGUACCUGCAGAAAAAGCACCGGCUAACUACGUG